GCUGAGAUGUCCGAGCGGUCUAAGGAGCUGGAUUCAAGCUUACAGGCUUCACUCGUGGAGGAGUGAUUCCCAGUAGGGCAACCUGCGGGGGUUCGAAUCCCCCUCUCAGCA
rnacentral:tRNA from 1 species